rnacentral:misc_RNA from 1 species
GCUUACUAUUUCAUUUUUCUUAAAGAAAAAAGGUAGAUACACGCAGGAGUCAGUACUUGGAAUUAGUAUACACAGUAAAUAAGAGUGCUGAGGAGAACUACAAAAAAAGUCUACUCUGGACGUUAUAUAAUUGGCUUAACAUCUUCACAAUUCUCAAAUUUUAUCCUUUGAGCACUGUCCUUGUAGGACAUUUGGUUCCAUGUUGUCCCCCGGCUUACACCAUAAAAUUUCAUAGCAGGAUUCUUCCCUCCCUUCACAAGUUCCAACUUGUGAAGGGAGGGAAGAAUCCUGCUAUGGCAAACUCGCUCCAGCCACAUCCUAUAUAAACUUUGCCAUUCUUAUCUGUCCCUAACGAUACUAACCAUGAACUUCCUCUUUCAUUUGUAAGGAUCAUCUCAGAACAUUUGCCAAUUAGAUCAUUCCUCCUUGCAAAAUGUAUUGGAAUUUGUAGGCGAGAGUUUUGAAUGUGAGAUGCCUUCAUAGUGACAUAAAAAUGGGGAUGCCUGACUGAUGAAGAACUAGCUUCUCCAUCUUGACAUCUAUUGGCCUUAGGAUUUACUUUCAACCUACACAUUUUCAAUACAGGCUUCUUCUCCUUUUCAAUGAGCUCAAAAAUGAAAGAAUCUCCUGGAUGAAGGUCAUUUGCAUCACGGAACGCCUGCCAACCGUGAAUAUAAGCUGGACCAUCUGGCUUUUUGUUCCAUAACUUUGCUGGCCAAGACCUUCCUUUUAGAUCCAUAAGAAUCAUCUUACAACAUCUAUUGCUCAGAUUGUUCAGCCUUGCAAAUUUUGCCGGAAUAUACAAUCUUGACCGACAGGCACUGCGAGAUGUCACUUUUGCAACAAAGUAAGGAUGUUCAAGAGCAGAAGAACUAGCUUUCACUUCAAAGUUGGUCAUAGCUUGCUUCUUCUUUUUGGGCUUCCUGGUACCACAUUCUUUUGCUAGUUCUUCUUCUGGAAUUUUCCUCUGAGAUUUUUCAAUGUAAGAUGACUUCUUAGUGACACUAAAAUGGUGAUGUUUGAUUGAUGAGGAUCCAGCUUGCACAUCAUGAUAAAUCAGCUCCUCUUUAGCCUCAGUAUUUGUUUGCAGCCCACAUAAUUUCAAUGUAGGUAUCUUCUGCUUUUCAAUGUGUUCAAAAAUUAAAGAAUCUCCUGCAUUAAGAUUAUUUGCAGCACGGAAGGAAGUCCAACCGCGUCCAAUAUAAAUUUGACCAUCUGAUUUCUUGCACCAUAACAUUGCUGGCCAAGACCUUCCCUUUUGAUUCAUAAGAAUCAUCUUGCAACGUCUAUUGCAUAGAUUGUGUGUCCUUGCAAAUUUAAUUGGAAUAUGCAAUCUACUUCGCCCAGCGCUGUAAGAUGUCAGUUUUACCACAAAGUAACGCUCUUCAUGAACAGAAGAAGUAGCUUUUCCUUCUAAGGUAGUCCUGGCAUGCUUCUUCCUGUUGAACUUCUCAGGACUGGAUUUUUUAGCAAGUUGUUGUUCCUGAAAUUCUAUUUUCUCCUCUUUUAUAUCAAAUUCUUCUGUAGGAAAGGAAGGAUAUUCUCUCAAAC